rnacentral:rRNA from 1 species
AGAUUGAACGCUGGCGGCAGGCCUAACACAUGCAAGUCGAGCGGCAGCACGGGUACUUGUACCUGGUGGCGAGCGGCGGACGGGUGAGUAAUGCCUAGGAAUCUGCCUGAUAGUGGGGGAUAACGCUCGGAAACGGACGCUAAUACCGCAUACGUCCUACGGGAGAAAGCAGGGGACCUUCGGGCCUUGCGCUAUCAGAUGAGCCUAGGUCGGAUUAGCUAGUUGGUGGGUAAUGGCUCACCAAGGCGACGAUCCGUAACUGGUCUGAGAGGAUGAUCAGUCACACUGGAACUGAGACACGGUCCAGACUCCGUACGGAGGCAGCAGUGGGAAUAGUUGGACAAUGGGCGAAAGCCUGAUCCAGCCAUGCCGCGUGUGUGAAGAAGGUCUUCGGAUUGUAAAGCGUAACUUUUAAGGUGGAAGGAAGGCAGUUACCUAAUACGUAUCGUUGUUUCGACGUCACCGACAGAAUAAGACACCGGACUAACUCUAGUCGACCUACG